GACAGCAGUCGCCGCGGGAAUACAGAGGGUGCGAGCGUUAAUCGGAUUUACUGGGCGUAAAGCGUGCGUAGGCGGCUUUUUAAGUCGGAUGUGAAAUCCCUGAGCUUAACUUAGGAAUUGCAUUCGAUACUGGGAAGCUAGAGUAUGGGAGAGGAUGGUAGAAUUCCAGGUGUAGCGGUGAAAUGCGUAGAGAUCUGGAGGAAUACCGAUGGCGAAGGCAGCCAUCUGGCCUAAUACUGACGCUGAGGUACGAAAGCAUGGGGAGCAAACAGGAUUAGAUACCCCGGUAGUCCCUGUCUCUUAUAC
rnacentral:rRNA from 1 species